rnacentral:misc_RNA from 1 species
UCGUCAUUUAUGCGUGAACGGGUUGUAUCUCACGUCAGUGGGCGUGAGGCGAGGCGGAGGGUGUGGAUGUGUGUGCGCUGUGCUCUGCUCCAGAGGUGGGGUCAUGGACGUCGAUGAGCUCAGGUACGACCCGUUCAGACGCGCUGCUACAACAAUAACUGCUGCCGUCGUCACUCCCCCUGCCUCCCAACACACUCUCUUCCCUUCUCCGCUGCUACGCCUUGAUAUGGCGAACAAGGAAAAGUACGUGAUGCGGCGCUGCAUCGCCCCUUAGCGACUGGAGGGGUGGGGGAGGCGAAAAAUGAGAGAGUGAGCCAUAUAGAGGCGUCGAUGGCUUUCCGCCUCUGACGUCUGUCUCCCGCUGUUUUCCUUUUCUUUCGCUUGCUUCUCCCACGCGGUAGUGGGUGCGGCCACUGCCGAUCGACUUCGCCUUCUAAAGCACUCGCCCUUUCCUUGGAGUGCACGUCGUUGACACCCACUGACGCUCUCAUCGACCCGUCCAUCCGCAUGCAUGCAAGUGCUGCUGCUUGCCCCCUUGCACGGAAAGGAACACCAGGCCCCCCCCCCCCCCCCCCCGCCGCCGCUCGAGUGGAGUCGGUGGAGAGGUGCCAAGAACUCUCCCCCACACCCCACCCAGAACACGAAGCACCGAGGGACGACAACUACAGGCAUGCACGCGGAGGGGAACAGUGAGACCUGCACCCCCCUCUCCCUCCCCCUACGAUGCGGUGGCGUCUUCCGAUCCAGAGAGACGCAAAGAGCGAAAGACGCAACGAUGUGCCAUAUCAAGUAGAAGAGUUUUGUAUAGCAAGCCUGAAGGUGAGAGGUAGCAGUCCGGUGGUGUUGUGGCGGUGCUGGCGGCAGCUGAGGACUCGGUUGGGGGUGGAGCGACGCCUUGGUUGCCGCCUAUCGCCUGCACGCGCAUCUACAUCCACAUACGCAUCCACGUUCUCCCGUCGCUCUUGACGACUCCAUCUCUCUCUCUGUAUGUGCGCGUGUCUAUGCCACAUUCCUUUGCCCUUCCUUCUCUUCACCUUCGUUGCACUUUCUGCCGUCUCGUCUCCUCUGCUGCGUAG